rnacentral:pre_miRNA from 14 species
UUGACUCUUGGUUUGAACCACAGCUCGACUCAUGGUUUGAACCAUUGUCAAACUCGUGGUUUGAACCAUCACUCGACUCCUGGUUUGAAUCAUC